rnacentral:lncRNA from 1 species
UUAAAAAGGCACGCAUCGGUCUUACUGUUCAUUAAGGGGAAAAAAAAUAUUGAGUUUGCCGGCUCAGUUCGUUCUUCAGUAUGUAGUUGCAGUUUUCCAAUUCUGUCCGCCAUUCUCUCUCUCACUUCGUUUGCUUCGUUCGAUUCCGACUAAACCUCUUCCCAAGACCGUCGUCGGUCCGCAUCCAGUUACCUGGGUUGUUGCGCCUUGUCAACCCUUCCUGUCUGCUCUCAAUCUUUCGGUCUAGGCGGUUGCCUUCCUUCUAAUAGCUUUUCUUUCGCAGUUGGAAGCCAACUCCCCUCAUCAUGUCUGUUUCUCCCCAGCUACAAUAUCUGUCAUCGAUCUAUUCAACUUUUCCCCAGCGCCGCAGUUCUCAGAUAUAUGUCUAUUCCCCCUUGGACUCCGCGCAUUGCCCUUAUCCCCUCUUUCCAUCUUCACUUUGUUGUUUAAUUUGAUGCGUACAGACCCAUCUGCUAUUUGGGAGAAAUAUCAUCUUCUUUCUUUGGAAACUCUACCGUGUCUUCCUUCCCAUUUUCUCAAAUCUUCUCGCCGAUGAUCCACCACUGGAACUCCUUUUACAGGUCCACCAUGUUUGGCGGCUCGGCGACCCCUCCCAGCCGGCCGAUUGUUUUGCUGUUGGAACACUGUGGGCUGCUGUGAAUGUGAGCUUCGCGAAUCCGCCCACCACUGCUCCUCCGCCUGUCCUUCCAACCAUUGUUAAUGGAUUCGCUAAACGUCAUUUGUUGUCUACUUUUGUUUCAGGGUUUGCGCAUACUAGGCGAUUCACACAAGAACUUUGCCGGCAGCCAUGUGUACAAAAUCUCCGCUUUACAAGUCUGGUUCUCUUCUCUGCAACAAAACAACUCUCUCUCAUACCGCGAGUAGAACCUUCCUUAAAGUUUUCAAAUCAUAAAAUUAAUAUUUGUUCACUUUUAAUUUAGUUUUAUUUAUCUUUUGUAGGCUUCUUAGUUGAGUUUUUUCAUGUUGUAAUGAUGUAGAUCUCCAGCAGAUUCCAUUGAUGUGGAUGUAUGGAGUGAAAAUUGUUGUGUUGGAUCUAUUGAGUUAUUCUACCUCCCCUUCUCUUCUCACACCUUGCAUUCAUACAGAGUAUGCUUUCGUGAAAUUCUGUUUUCUUGGUUUUAAAGGUUUUGCCAAUAAUUUUCUGUGAUCAUUAUACGGC